rnacentral:misc_RNA from 1 species
CACCAAUCACGCCUGGCGUGGUAUUGGGCGACGGGGCCGUCACACGCCCCGCGCCCCAAAGAUCUCCCCGGCGGGACGGACCGAAUCUCAGCGUUGUGCAAAUGUCGCUGGCGAUGCACGGGACGGACGUGCCGUUAAACCCCAUCUUCUCAA